CUCUUGAUAGUUACGCAGUGCUAAACAACGUAUCAAUGUCUUAUGUCACCACAAACUGUACACAAUCACGGUUUGUACCUGGCAGUGUGUUUUUAUCUGAUCCGUAUAUUACGUUCGAAUUUCUUAGAAAAAUAAUUCCGUUUUAGGCGUCUACCCAACGCGCAGUUCCUCUGUAGAUCGAAUUCGAAACGGUACUGUUAUAUAGCGACAACUACUAUACUACCCUAUUAAGGGUGAUAAGUUAACUCAUGUGUGCUUGCCUAUCUUUCUAUAUUAUCCUUUCUGUGAUUUAUUAACAAGAACAGGUUAAUAUUCUUGUUGUGGUUUCUUAAAUAAAAUAAGUAUGUGAUUACGGGUUAAGCGUUGCUGUCAUAGGUGCGUUCGAUUUUUCAAGUAGAACGCAGUUCACUGUAAUUCCGAAUUGGCAGAGUAAACAAAACAAAUGCGACUUUUCGUACUUGCGCAGUCAGAAAAAUUCACUCGGAAGUUGUACGCGCGGCAGAAGCAAAACCUUUGUCAAGCAGCACAAGCGAGUGGCGCGAAUUGCAUUCACUGUAUCGAUGGGAUAUACGUAACUUCAACUUACUAGAAGUUCCUCCGAGUCACGUUCUCCACGAGUAAUAGCCCUCCCAGAAUACCACACCAGCAUGAACAGCGUCUUCGAAUGGCAUCCCUCAUCAGAUCUAUUGGCUUCCAUUAGAUUCGACUCCAAAGCACACAUUUGGAAUCUAAACGAGAAACAGUUACAUCGCUUUGCUCAAACGGAUCCUUCAUCAAUAAAAUCGCCACCUAAGAUUGAUCUACACGGAGCUGUAGUGUUAGGCGACAAGGCAAUGAAGUCACUAGCCUGGCACCCUCAGGGAAUAGUACUAGCCACGGUAUCAGAAGACGGUGUCGUUCAUAUAUGGACAACACAAGGGAAAUGUAUCAAAACAGUUGACACGGAUAUUUCGCCGACUUCCGUCCUCAAGUGGAAUGAGAAAUGGAGUCACCUUCUGAUUGGAGGUCAACACAAGAAAAUUGGAUCAGUUACUGUUCUGGACGUUGGAGCCCAAUACAGCAAAGAGCGGUUCCAAUGCGAUUAUGAGCAACCCGUGUCGGAUGUAGCCUGGUUAAACAGAAAUACCUUUGCUACUUGUUCAGUUUAUGAACCGCUUGUCCAUAUCUUCCAAUUAGGCGUUACUGCGCCCAUCAGAAUAUUUCAAGGUCAUACAGGCGCGGUGCACGAAAUGAUAUGGCAUGCUGACAGCGAGCUGCUGGCUUGUCGCUCGAAUAACGAACUGAUAAAGGUUUGGAUGUUGUCGAAUGGCGCGUCUCAAGGAAGACUAGUCGACAGCAUCUAUGGGUUUUCCGAAAUUCGCAAAAUUCAGUGGAGCCCAACAGGUCCAGGAACCGUCAACGACGGGAAAAGACCGAAGUUAGCUUUAGUCUUUGAUAUAAUGAUCUCUAUAUGGGACGUCGAUCAGCGGAAAUGUCUGCGCAGGUUUAUAAAACAUGAAAAAGAUGUGCAUACCUUUGCGUACUCGCCAGAUGGGCGUUACCUUGCUAGCGUCUCUUCCGAUCGAUGGCUGUAUAUCUGGAGCCCUCUGACUGGCAAGGUCAGAUACUUGCACAAAUUUACCGGGUUCCCGUUUCGAGUGAGGUGGAGCUCCCGAGGUGAUAAGAUCGCGAUUGCCACUGACGCCGGACCGAUCGAACUACUGGAUUUUCGAGAAGCCUGAUUAUAAGACGAUAGAAUGACAGAAACAUUAGACGAAAAGAAUGUCGAUCCGAAACUUUCAAGACUAUUCUGAUAGUCCUCGUUCUGUUGGAGAAUCGAUUUCAACCGAGAAUUAUUCGAAACUGUGCUGGGAUGAUGCGAUGGGAAUCAGUCACUUUUCAUUCGUUCAAAUAAUACCAGCUGCUCUGAUCUCUUUGCUUUCGUUGAUUCCUCUGUGAACUAUCUAAUGCUAGCCAAUAUGAGAGGGUAAUUUCAUUGGUUGAUAUUUGAGAGGAUAUUGGGUAAAAUGCAAGUUAAUUGCACUUCUAAGAAUUAGGGAUGCUAUACGGGCUACCAUAGCGCAUUUGGUAUUCUGCUUCGCUUAAACUAAGAACUUGUUGCUUAUGCGUCCAUACGGAAGCAUGAUAAAGUAUCUCAUAUCUUUCAUGCGCUUUCACUUACUCUCUCGUGUUUUAACGGCGCGGUUACAUAAGAUAAUUCCAAACUUAAAGGUUAGUCCGCCUUGGCCUAGUAUGAAUUAUGACCGUAUUCUGUCUUCUAUAGCAAGUGAUUCAAUGAUCCGUUUGGUCGUGUUGUCAUUUCGUUUCACUUAUUAUUCGAGAACAAACGUGAGCUUUUCAGUCCCAAAAAAUUAGUAAGCCAAAUAAUACUAACGUUAUCUGUUUUGCAGUGUUACAAUAUCAUAUAUCUAUCUUCGGGGUAAUGCAGCUCGUUGCAUACAUACAUGACAUAGUCGUUAUCAACGCGACCUAAUCUAUUUUAUAGACCCUAGGGCGGGUACUAGCAGGCAGCAUCAUGCCAGUAAAUGCUACACCCCAGAUUUCAGCAACAGAUGGUGCUUAUACAGACUCAACAGGUCAUGCAUAGAGAGGUUUUCUUUUCGGUGCUCCACGUCGAUGCUAGCGAUAGUUCACUUUAGAAUCACAUCGAUUGCUCGAGUGAUUCACGGUAGCAGUGAAGUUCACAAAAGAAAAAAGAAACGUGUGAAAAAUUCGAAGGCUCUUAUCCGGUCAAUGACAUUUUACCUGCGCCGUUAAAAUGAUAGCCAAGUGGCUUUUCUAUAUGGGCUUUUAUCAUAAUAGUCAGCUUGAAAUGGUGUCAGGUAGAAUUCCUAAAGAGUAUGGCAGGCGGUGGUCGCGCACCGCAAAGCAAUCGCCUCUCUGUCGUCGAGUUUAUGUUAGAUAUCUUUGUUCCGAAAUCUGUAACUGGUCGUGUUGUAAUGAUGAGGGUAGAUAAUACGUCUGGACUGAGCCUAUUGUCGUUAAGUACUUUCAGGUUAUGGUUUCUGUUCGCUCUCUAGUAGAGCCAGCCCGUGGCCUUUAAAUUGGAGGAAAGGUAUAUCAGAUAUUUAAAAUCUGUACAUUGAAAAACGGAUUUAUACUCACUUACUGCAGAAGGCUUAGACAGCUAUGCUAUAUUAAGUGAUGACCGUGAUAAAAAAACAUUAAUUUUUGAGGAUCAAAUACAUCUAAAAAACAUCUAUUUGUUCAAAAGACAUCUUUGGUCCUUAGAAAUGCCGCCAGUGUGCUCCUUCGUUGACCCAGGUAACUUCAAGGUUACGAAAGCCCUGCGCAAUUGCAGUGUGUGUGUGAGAAAUGUGCUAGAAAAUGCGCAUAGCAAAAAUUAAACGCUAAAAAUGAAGCUCUCAGCUAAGCUAAUAAUAGACGAUUUUGUCGGUCUGUUUCCUAUAACUGAAAUCGGUAGAAAUCGUCCUUGGCGGUAAUGAUGAGAAUGACAAUGGUGCUUAAGUGGUACCCGACCAAUCAAUCCUGCUCUGACGUCUUUGCUAUCAUUCACCCUCGAAUUAUUAUUAGAAACUCACAUUGCGUAAAAAUUGUUUUGAUUCGCGAAACGACAAUCUAAUCAUAGACUCCAUAAUUAUCGCUGACCGGACCAUGCUAUAGGGCUGGACAACCGUGAGAACCGAACACCAUUUACGAUCGCACUUCAGAUUCCGAUUCGACAGCUUCACCGUUAAUGUGUCUCUGAUCUCUGAUCAGCUCCGUACGAGUCCAUCAGCAGCAACAAACCUCAACUCCGCCACCUAUAUAUCUGCCACCUUUAGCUUGGAUUACUGUCGCACAGACACUGCAUUCAUAGCGGCGCAAUGCUUGAGGUUAAACGGCAGUUUAGUGACGCACGAUCCGACAGAGAGGAGGUUCUUGAUGUGGUAAGCAUCACACGUUUUUGUCCGCGCUUCUCUGGACCCCCGAUAUCGAACUCUUAUCGUUCCCUUUACGAUAGCUCAUUGGCUUUUAAGCACUGCUCUUGUACCCGUUACUGACGUAGUCGGUGGAUGAGAACUCGAUUCUGUCAAUACACAACAAUCAUUGGCUGUAGUUUUAAUCGUAGCAGAAGGACAAUGGCCACGUCGGUCGAAAAAGAAUGUCCCCACUAGCAUGUCACCGAUGUUAAAGCUGUGGACAUCGAUUGUAGUGUGUGGCUAUUUAACCCCAGCUACUGUUUUUGCCAGUACCAUUAUUGGCAGCUACUGUCACAUCGUGAGCGGUUCUGCCCUUUCUCGCCCAUAGGCAGGGUAUCACCGUCAACAGGCAAACUAGCCACGGAGGCUGUGGAUUGGGUUCCAUGGGUCCUGUGAAGCUGCGCUAUUAUCGUGCACCGCUUGAUAAUACAGUCUCUCCUAUGGUAGAGAGGAAGAAAAAGAGAUAAUGCUUCAAAGCCACCAAUAUGGCUGUAUUCUCGCUCGAGGCGGCCCUACCAAUACGCCGUAUCGUGCGUAUUCGCAGGAAUGGACAAUACAACGAUGCCUAGCAGCUUUAGCCAUCAACAAUCAGAAUAUAGAUAUCUAAUGCGCCGACUCGAGCGGAAGAGCUGGAGACUGUGUGUGCGAGUGAGGAGCCCAGUGCUCCAGACGAGAGUAGACGCGACUACUCUGCGAUGGAGGGGAAUGCCUAGAAGGGUAUCGCCUGGUGUCGAGCUAUCUGGUCGUUGAACGGACAACGUGUAUGUCCGUCUAUUUGCCUCUUUGUGUUGACAAAGGUGGAACAUCGUGGCGCGCAAUUGGUCUUUUGUGCUGCAUAUGGCCCUAUGCGUUCUGUGUUUCUCUUGUUGUCAAAUUAUGUUUAUCGGCCGGUUCGGAUACAUAAAUGAGUCGCGUCUGUGCACACGUUAUACGCUACUUAACCAUAGAGGACAAAACGAGUAAAAUAGAACUAUAAAGUUCUAUUAAUGUGAUUUGUACCAUUAACGUACUGAUCGAGCUUUGGAACAACCAGAUAAAAUAAGCAAAUGCGAUGUAUAGACCUCGGCUACCCUUGUGGAACAGCUACGAAGCUCUAAGGAACAAACGGUGACAUCAGUGGUGAUACUCGCAAUACGGUUAUCUCCUGCUUAUUUGAAUAAACGUCUCCAGAAUCAACGAGAACGCCUGUUGAUUAAGAUCUUAUUUGACACUCAUAACUUGUUGUCUUCAACCCAGCGUUCUCACGCAUGUGGCCUAGAUGACGCCUAGACUUCGUGCAGUUGUUCAAACGAAUCCGUUUCGUCGGAUUUCGUAUCAUGUUGCGGUAGCGAUGACUAGGUUUACGCUAAGUUCUCGAUGCAGGAUCAACGGCAGCCGAAAGGCCAGCGGACGCAUUGUCACCGCUACCACAAUAAGCAGUAGUGCUGCCAGUAAUAACGCGAUAAAUGAUGGACUGUGUCAUUUUCUCCAAGGUUUAUCGUUAUCGGUAUGGAUACGAGACGGACUCGGGAGACGGCGACACCAGCACCAUUUUUUUACGAUGAUGGCACUCGUAGCAUUGGGCCUGAUGGCUGCGCAAUCUGUAGCGGAAGCAGGUCGGCCGGUUCCGCGCGUUACAGUGUCGCUUCAAAGAGAGUGUGGAAACUCUCAAAGGGCAGUUGUCCUCAUUAACGCCACCGGACCCGGAUCAGCCAUCGAG